rnacentral:tRNA from 1 species
AGUUAUUUAGCUUAAUUUUUAAAGCAAUUAUUUUGAAAAUAAUAGAUAGAAAUCUUUUAGUAACUU